rfam:Jannaschia rubra strain CECT 5088 genome assembly, contig: 0020
CGACCGCCCCAACGGCUUCCUGAAGGGGCGGGAAACACGCAUCGGAGCA